AGGGAAGGAUCGAGUUUUUAAUACUCCAUUAUGCGAACAAGGAAUUGUUGGAUUUGGAAUCGGAAUUGCAGUCACUGGUGCUACUGUCAUUGCAGAAAUUCAGUUUGCAGAUUACAUCUUUCCUGCUUUUGAUCAGAUUGUGAAUGAAGCUGCCAAGUACCGCUACCACUCUGGGGAUCUUUUUAACUGUGGAAGCCUCACUAUCUGGGCACCUUAGGGCUGUGUUGGCCACGGGGCUCUCUAUCAUUCUCAGAGUUCUGAGGCUUUUUUUGCUCAUUGCCCAGGAAUCAAGGUGGUUGUACACAGAAGCCCUUUCCAUGCCAAGGGGCUUCUUCUGUCAUGCAUAGAGGAUAAAAAUCCUUGUAUAUUUUUUGAACCUAAAAUACUUUACAGGGCAGCAG